rnacentral:rRNA from 1 species
UACGUAGGUGGCAAGCGUUGUCCGGAUUUAUUGGGCUUAAAGGGUGCGUAGGCGGUCAUAUAAGUCAGUGGUGAAAUACUUCAGCUCACCUGGGGAGGUGCCAUUGAUACUGUAAGACUUGAGUACAGACGAGGUAGGCGGAAUUGACGGUGUAGCGGUGAAAUGCGUAGAUAUCGGCAAGAACACCGAUAGCGAAGGCAGCUUACUAGACUGUAACUGACGCUGAGGCGCGAAAGUGUGGGGAGCAAACAGG